rnacentral:rRNA from 1 species
UACGUAGGGUGCGAGCGUUAAUCGGAAUUACUGGGCGUAAAGCGUGCGUAGGCGGUUCUCCAAGUCCGUUGUGAAAGCCCCGGGCUCAACCUGGGAAUUGCGUUGGAGACUGCAAGGCUAGAAUCUGGCAGAGGGGGGUAGAAUUCCACGUGUAGCAGUGAAAUGCGUAGAGAUGUGGAGGAACACCGAUGGCAAAGGCAGCCCCCUGGGUCAAGAUUGACGCUCAUGCACGAAAGCGUGGGGAGCAAACAGG